ACGAACGCUGGCGGCGUGCCUAAUACAUGCAAGUCGAGCGCAGGAAACAAGUUGAUCCCUUCGGGGUGACGCUUGUGGAAUGAGCGGCGGACGGGUGAGUAACACGUGGGCAACCUACCUUGUAGACUGGGAUAACUCCGGGAAACCGGAGCUAAUACGGGAUGAUCAUUUAAAUCGCAUGAUUGAAAUGUAAAAGUGGGGAGUAAUCCUCACACUACGAGAUGGGCCCGCGGCGCAUUAGCUAGUUGGUAAGGUAACGGCUUACCAAGGCGACGAUGCGUAGCCGACCUGAGAGGGUGAUCGGCCACACUGGAACUGAGACACGGUCCAGACUCCUACGGGAGGCAGCAGUAGGGAAUCAUCCGCAAUGGGCGAAAGCCUGACGGUGCAACGCCGCGUGAACGAUGAAGGUUUUCGGAUCGUAAAGUUCUGUUAUGAGGGAAGAACAAGUGCCGUUCGAAUAGGGCGGCACCUUGACGGUACCUCACGAGAAAGCCCCGGCUAACUACGUG
rnacentral:rRNA from 1 species